GGAGGGACUGGGCCGUCAGCUGGGACAGCGGCGAGGUGCGGCUGUGGCUCAGUGGUGACGUCACGCUGGGGCUGCGCGUGCUCUCGGCCCCCCCCCGCGUCCUGCACCAGUUCCUGGGGGGGUACCUGGCCCUGGGGGGGCCCCCCCGCGACCCCCGCGAGCUGCAGCGCCUCAUGGAGGGGGGGUACGACCCCUGAGCCCCCCCCCGGGCUGCCGGCCCCGUCCCCAAAGUGUCACCGCCCCCCCCAAAAUCCCCCUCCCCAAAUAAAGCUCAACGCGCUCCUGG